rnacentral:rRNA from 1 species
ACGAACGCUGGCGGCGUGCUUAACACAUGCAAGUCGAGCGGUAAGGCCCUUUCGGGGGUACACGAGCGGCGAACGGGUGAGUAACACGUGGGUGACCUGCCCUCAGCUCUGGGAUAAGCCUGGGAAACCGGGUCUAAUACUGGAUAUGACUCCAUGACGCAUGUUGUGGGGCGGAAAGCCUUGUGCGGCUGAGGAUGGGCCCGCGGCCUAUCAGCUUGUUGGUGGGGUGANGGCCUACCAAGGCGACGACGGGUAGCCGGCCUGAGAGGGCGACCGGCCACACUGGGACUGAGACACGGCCCAGACUCCUACGGGAGGCAGCAGUGGGGAAUCUUGCGCAAUGGGCGAAAGCCUGACGCAGCGACGCCGCGUGAGGGAUGACGGCCU